rnacentral:rRNA from 1 species
UACGGGAGGGGCAAGCGGUAUUCGGCUUGACUGGGCGUAAAGGGUUCGUAGACUGUAAAAUAAGUUACUUGUUAAAUUUUAAAGCUUAACUUUAAAUCAGCUUGUAAUACUGUUUUACUUGAGUUUUAUACAGAAGAGUAGAAUUUCAUACGGAAGGGUAAAAUCUCUAGAUAUAUGAAGGAAUGCCAGCAGCGAAGGCGACUCUUUAGUAAAAACUGACGUUGAGGAACGAAAGUAUGGGGAGCAAACAGG